rnacentral:rRNA from 1 species
GACGAACGCUGGCGGCGUGCUUAACACAUGCAAGUCGAACGGAAAGACCCUGCUUUUGUUGGGUGCUCGAGUGGCGAACGGGUGAGUAACACGUGAGUAACCUGCCCUUGACUUUGGGAUAACUUCAGGAAACUGCGGCUAAUACCGGAUAUGAGCUCCUGCUGCAUGUUGGGGGUUGGAGAGUUUCGGCGGUUGGGGAUGGACUCGCGGCUUAUCAGCUUGUUGGUGGGGUAGUGGCUUACCAAGGCUUUGACGGGUAGCCGGCCUGAGAGGGUGACCGGCCACAUUGGGACUGAGAUACGGACCAGACUGCAACGGGAGGCAGCAGUGGGGAAUAUUGCACAACGGGCGGAAGCCUGAUGCAGCAACGCCGCGUGCGGGAUGACGGCCUUCGGGUUGUAAACCGCUUUCGCCUGUGACGAAGCGUGAGUGACGGUAAUGGGUAAAGAAGCACCGGCUAACUACGUG